GUCUAUUCCAGUAAUGGCCACACGAGGGCACUGUUUAUUUUCCUAUCCAUGUCUAUUCCAGUAUUGGCCACAGGAGGGCACUGUUUAUUUUCCUAUCCAUGUCUAUUCCAGUAAUGGCCACAGGAGGGCACUGUUUAUUUUCCUAUCCAUGUCUAUUCCAGUAUUGGCCACACGAGGGCACUGUUUAUUUUCCUAUCCAUGUCUAUUCCAGUAAUGGCCACACGAGGGCACUGUUUAUUUUCCUAUCCAUGUCUAUUCCAGUAAUGGCCACACGGGGUCACUGUUUAUUUUCCUAUUGAGGUCUAUUCCAGUAUUGGCCACACGGGGGCACUGUUUAUUUUCCUAUUGAGUCUAUUCCAGUACUGGCCACACGAGGGCACUGUUUAUUUUCCUAUUGAGGUCUAUUCCAGUAUUGGCCACACGGGGGCACUGUUUAUUUUCCUAUUGAGGUCUAUUCCAGUAAUGACCACACGGGGUCGCUGUUUAUUUUCCUAUUGAGGUCUAUUCCAGUAAUGGCCACACGAGGGCACUGUUUAUUUUCCUGUCCAUGUCUAUUCCAGUAAUGGCCACACGGGGUCACUGUUUAUUUUCCUAUUGAGGUCUAUUCCAGUAAUGGCCACACGAGGGCGCUGUUUAUUUUCCUAUCCAUGUCUAUUCCAGUAAUGGCCACAGGAGGGCACUGUUUAUUUUCCUAUCUAUGUCUAUUCCAGUAAUGGCCACAGGAGGGCACUGUUUAUUUUCCUAUCUAUGUCUAUUCCAGUAAUGGCCACAGGAGGGCACUGUUUAUUUUCCUAUCCAUGUCUAUUCCAGUAAUGGCCACACGAGGGCACUGUUUAUUUUCCUAUUGAGGUCUAUUCCAGUAAUGGCCACACGAGGGCACUGUUUAUUUUCCUAUCCAUGUCUAUUCCAGUAAUGGCCACACGAGGGCACUGUUUUUAUUCCUAUCUAUGUCUAACCCUAUCCAGACCCCUCAGGCACUGUUGGGACACCUCCCAGAAGGGGUUUUUUGGGGGGGUCCCUCCAGCCUUCCUUCUCCGCAGGGACCACAAGAGGUAUCUAGUCUGACCCCUGAAAUGCAGAGAGGGAACCCCAGAGGCAUCUAGUCUGACCCCUGAAAUGCAGAAAUCUAGUCUAGGCCCUGCUGCCCUCAACCAACAUGGCGCCGCUGCUGCCUCUUCCGCCCUUUCUUUCCCCUCCCUCUUUCCAGUCCCC